UGCAUUGGCACCUUUGUUGGAAAUCAAUUGGCCAUAAAUGUAAAAGUAAAUAUAAGGAUUUAUUUCUGGACCCUCACUUCUGUUCCAUUGCUCCAUAUAUCCAUCUAAUGAUUUGUUCUUGCAUCAUUCGUCUCUUUAUUUUCAUUCAUGGUAGGAAUUCAGGGGCAAAAUGGAGUUUUUCCCCCUCAAAAUGUCUAACGAAUAUCCUGGCAUUGUUUAUUGAAUACUCCUUUCCUUCUCCAUUGAGUCCUUUGUUUGUUAAAUCGUUAAAGACAUUUUUAUAGACACCUCUUCCAUGUUACUCUGACUCCUCUCGUUUUUUCCCAUUCAACAUUUUAGAGUCCCGUAAUCCUGUAUUCUGUUUGACCAAAUGACAAAUAUUGUCCCUGCCUCAGAAGAGCUUACGUUGGCAAAUAGGAAGAGGACGUUGACAUGUUAGAAUAAUAAACACAGAACAGAUAUUUGCAUUGGACCUCAAAAAGCGUUAGUGCAUUGUAGAACAGUAACUGAAAUGAAGAGAUUCUCAGGGGAGUUUCGUGUUGACUUUGGGUGGGGUUGUGGACACUUAAUCUUAAAGUGACCCAACCCCUGCUCAGAUCUUUCCUACCUAUUUGUCUGACAAUAAUCUUCUGAUGGUGGUUGUGGGGUUUUUAAACACCAAAUGACUAUGAAAUUCUGUGAGAAGACUCCACCCACUCCAACAGAGUUUAAAAGUUCAACAUUUUUCUCAAUGAAGACACCCAAGACAUAUUUGUAAAAUUCCCAGAAGACCCAAGGCUGAGGAGCAGCUUGUAUGAUUGGUGAUCCAAUUAAGGUUCAAUUGGUCUUGACAGGCUGGGAAGCAACGAGGAAGCAAGAAGAUGAAACGGAACUCAGAAAAAUGUAAACUACAGUAUUUUGUCCAAAAAAAAAAAAAAUCAAUGCCAGGAUGAGGGAGCCUUAGUAAAAAGAAUGGAAUUUUAGUUGCCUGAAAACUCAGUGUGGUUAUAUUGACUAAGGCUUGUCCUGUUUGCAAGGAAGAGUGACAUCCAUGUAUGUGACUAAGGACACAUACAGAAGAGCUAAGGAAUCACAGAGAAGGAGCAUAGGGAACCAAUUUCAACUGCUCUGUAGCCAGGCUUCCCCAGUCUGGUCACCUAGGCUAACCCACUGGAACUGCUUCUUACUGGGGCUAGGCCAAAGGCGCCACCACCACCACCACCAAUGAAACAAAACAUAUUUAAAAACAUCCAAAACUUGUCCAAAUUUCCUAAGUCAUCAGGAACUGGGCUCUUGGUAGCUCAGCCUACAAAUUAACUUAUUCUCUUUCUUUUUACGUCUCAACUGUGGCUAUUCCUUGCCUGGGGUUUUGAGGACAAUAUCAACUUUAGAAGACCUACUGAUCAACCCACGACACUGAGAGGAACAGAAAACAGAAGGCCGUGGACGGGCACCCACUUGGCCAACUCUGUGUAGCCCCACUGAGCUCCAGGCUUCAUUGACCUCUGUCCGUCCCUGCCUCAUCGUGUCCCUGGGCUCUGCCCUUCCCAGACCCUGGCAGCAGCCUGCUGAGUGCUCCCCAAUAAGGCCUGCCUACCACCGUUUCAGAGGGACCUCCCCUACAGCUGGAGGGCAGGCCUGGGCCCAGCCCCUGGGGGACCUGGCCUCACCGGGGCUCUGUCCCACCCUGUGUCUCCAGCUAGUAGAUGCUAAGAGUUGAAUGAUGAGAGACGGGUGAGCAUCGGCUCCUUCUUUGCUCACUGCUCCUUCCCCUUGCCAGCCUCCCAUUGACUCCCAGCCUCCCUUAUCGUCAAUAACCAAUAACUGCCUUCUAUUGAGUUCAGCUAUGUGCCAGACACUGUCCUAAGCACUUAGCAAGCCCCUUAUUCAUCAAAACCAUCUUAUAAGGG
rnacentral:lncRNA from 1 species